UUGACAGCCAGGCUUCUAAACCUCUUAAAACUCCCCCACUCUGGUGCCAACUUAGACAAUACUCUUUUACGCACUCCUUUUUAGUUAUCCCCACCUGCCCAGUUCCCUUAUUAGGCCGAGACACUUUAACUAAAUUAUCUGCUUCCCUGACUACUCCUGGAUUACACCUGCAUCUCAUUGCUGCCCUUCUUCCCAAUCCAGAGCCUCCUUUGCGUCCUCCUCUUGUAUCCCCCACCUUAACCCACAAGUAUAAGAUACCUCUACUCCCUCCUUGGCGACCGAUCAAGCACGCCUUACCAUCUCAUUAAAACCUAAUCACCCUUACGCCGCUCAACGCCAAUAUCUCAUCCCACAGCAUGCUUUGAAAGGAUUAAAGCCUGUUAUCACUCGCCUGCUACAGCAUGGGCUUUUAAAACCUAUAAACUCUCCUUACCAUUCCCCCAUUUUACCUGUCCUAAAACCAGACAAGCCUUACAAGUUAGUUCAGAAUCUGCGCCUUAUCAACCAAAUGUUUUGCCUAUCCACCCCGUGGUGCCAAACCCAUAUACUCUUCUAUCCUCAAUACCUCCCUCUACUACCCAUUAUUCUGUUCUGGAUCUCAAACAUGCUUUCUUUACUAUUCCUUUGCACCCUUCAUCCCAGCCUCCCUUUGCUUUCACUUAGACUGACCCUGACACCCAUUAGGCUCAGCAAAUUACCUGGGCUGUACUGCCGCAAGGCUUCACAGACAGCCCCCAUUACUUCAGUCAAGCCCAAAUUUCAUCCUCAUCUGUUACCUAUCU
rnacentral:lncRNA from 1 species